CAGCCACACUGGAACUGAGACACGGUCCAGACUCCUACGGGAGGCAGCAGUGGGGAAUAUUGCACAAUGGGCGCAAGCCUGAUGCAGCCAUGCCGCGUGUAUGAAGAAGGCCUUCGGGUUGUAAAGUACUUUCAGCGGGGAGGAAGGCGGUGCGGUUAAUAACCGCGCCGAUUGACGUUACCCGCAGAAGAAGCACCGGCUAACUCCGUGCCAGCAGCCGCGGUAAUACGGAGGGUGCAAGCGUUAAUCGGAAUUACUGGGCGUAAAGCGCACGCAGGCGGUCUGUUAAGUCAGAUGUGAAAUCCCCGGGCUCAACCCGGGAACUGCAUUUGAAACUGGCAGGCUUGAGUCUUGUAGAGGGGGGUAGAAUUCCAGGUGUAGCGGUGAAAUGCGUAGAGAUCUGGAGGAAUACCGGUGGCGAAGGCGGCCCCCUGGACAAAGACUGACGCUCAGGUGCGAAAGCGUGGGGAGCAAA
rnacentral:rRNA from 1 species